GCAAUUUUUUCCCCUCCAGUGAGGAGAUACUAGGGAAGGCCUCUGGGUUCACAGCCAAAUUGCCUUAAUGGUUUGCCUGCUGUCCAGCGAGACCCAGCAGAGCGAGCGGGACGGCGGUGCGCCGGGCCGCGGGGACCCACGCAGUCACAGCUCCGGUGCCCGGCGAGCGGCCUCGCGCGCGGCUCGGGGCCGGGCCCUGCCCGGCCGUCUGCAAGAGCCGCGGGACCCCCGACGCGCGCGCACGGACCGAGGGGUCGGUCGCCCCACGCCUGGCAUCACGUUCCAGUGCGGACAGCCAAAGGGCUGAGCGGAGGCAGCAGCCCCGACCCAGCGGUAGCGCCGCGCCCUGCCCGAGAGAGGCGCGCCACGCCGGGCCGGAGCCGGUGGCCCGGGAGCCCGCGGGGUCCGGAGCGGAGCCCGCAAUGCAGACGCGCCGGCGAGCCCAGCCGGGGCCCGCGCCCCCCGCGUCCCCGCGCCCCGGCCCCGCGGUCGCCCGGCCUCAACGCCCACCUGCCUCGCCACGGAGCUCGGGAAGGAGACGGCGCCGGCCCCGCGCCCGGAGAGCGCACCUGCCUGGUCCGCGGGCCCGGCCCCGCCGCCCGCCGGCAGCACCGCGGCCAGCGCCGUCUUACCUGCCGCGCCGCGCCGCUCCGCUCCGCCAGCCCGCAGCGCCGCAGUCGCCGCUACCCGACUUCCAUUUUCUCUCGCUUUAAAGGAAAACCAGAUCAGCUGUUUUGCUCCCGCUCGGGCUCCGCGGCCCCCUCCCCAGCUGCCGCUCGCGGUCCCGGUGGCCUCUCCUCCCCCGCCUCCUCCCGCGCUCCGCUCCGCCCCUCGCGCCCCUCCGCUCCGCCCGCGGCCGCGCACAACGCCCG
rnacentral:lncRNA from 1 species